GAUGAACGCUGGCGGCGUGCCUAAUACAUGCAAGUCAAGCGAACAGACGAGGAGCUUGCUCCUCUGACGUUAGCGGCGGACGGGUGAGUAACACGUGGAUAACCUACCUAUAAGACUGGGAUAACUUCGGGAAACCGGAGCUAAUACCGGAUAACAUGUUGAACCGCAUGGUUCAACAGUGAAAGACGGUCUUGCUGUCACUUAUAGAUGGAUCCGCGCCGCAUUAGCUAGUUGGUAAGGUAACGGCUUACCAAGGCAACGAUGCGUAGCCGACCUGAGAGGGUGAUCGGCCACACUGGAACUGAGACACGGUCCAGACUCCUACGGGAGGCAGCAGUAGGGAAUCUUCCGCAAUGGGCGAAAGCCUGACGGAGCAACGCCGCGUGAGUGAUGAAGGUCUUCGGAUCGUAAAACUCUGUUAUUAGGGAAGAACAAAUGUGUAAGUAACUAUGCACGUCUUGACGGUACCUAAUCAGAAAGCCACGGCUAACUACGUG
rnacentral:rRNA from 1 species